rnacentral:rRNA from 1 species
GACGGGGGGUCCAAGCGUUGUUCGGAAUCAUUGGGCGUAAAGCGGGCGUAGGUGGUCUUGCAAGUCAGGAGUGAAAGCCCUGGGCUCAACCCAGGAAGUGCUUUUGAAACUGCAAGACUUGAAUGUGGGAGAGGGUAGUAGAAUUCCAGGUGUAGUGGUGAAAUACGUAGAUAUCUGGAGGAACACCGGUGGCGAAGGCGGCCUGCUGGGCAGUUUGGCUGACACUGAGGCGCGACAGCGUGGGGAGCAAACAGG